AUUGAACGCUGGCGGCAUGCCUUACACAUGCAAGUCGAACGGUAACAGGUCUUCGGAUGCUGACGAGUGGCGAACGGGUGAGUAAUACAUCGGAACGUGCCUAGUAGUGGGGGAUAACUACUCGAAAGAGUGGCUAAUACCGCAUGAGAUCUACGGAUGAAAGCAGGGGAUCGCAAGAACUUGUGCUACUAGAGCGGCCGAUGGCAGAUUAGGUAGUUGGUGGGAUAAAAGCUUACCAAGCCGACGAUCUGUAGCUGGUCUGAGAGGACGAUCAGCCACACUGGGACAGAGACACGGCCCAGACUCCUACGGGAGGCAGCAGUGGGGAAUUUUGGACAAUGGGCGCAAGCCUGAUCCAGCAAUGCCGCGUGCAGGAUGAAGGCCUUCGGGUUGUAAACUGCUUUUGUACGGAACGAAAAGCCCUGGGUUAAUACCCUGGGGUCAUGACGGUACCGUAAGAAUAAGCACCGGCUAACUACGUGCCAGCCGCCGCGGUAAUAC
rnacentral:rRNA from 1 species